UGCUGGAGGUAUCAGAAGUGCGAAUGCUGACAUAAGUAACGAUAAAGCGGGUGAAAAGCCCGCUCGCCGGAAGACCAAGGGUUCCUGUCCAACGUUAAUCGGGGCAGGGUGAGUCGACCCCUAAGGCGAGGCCGAAAGGCGUAGUCGAUGGGAAACGGGUUAAUAUUCCCGUACUUGGUGUUACUGCGAAGGGGGGACGGAGAAGGCUAUGUUGGCCGGGCGACGGUUGUCCCGGUUUAAGCGUGUAGGUGUGUGUUCCAGGUAAAUCCGGUUCACUUUAACACUGAGGCGUGACGACGAGGCACUACGGUGCUGAAGCAACAAAUGCCCUGCUUCCAGGAAAAGCCUCUAAGCAUCAGGUAACACGAAAUCGUACCCCAAACCGACACAGGUGGUCAGGUAGAGAAUACCAAGGCGCUUGAGAGAACUCGGGUGAAGGAACUAGGCAAAAUGGUGCCGUAACUUCGGGAGAAGGCACGCUGACACGUAGGUGAAGUGAUUUACUCAUGGAGCUGAAGUCAGUCGAAGAUACCAGCUGGCUGCAACUGUUUAUUAAAAACACAGCACUGUGCAAACACGAAAGUGGACGUAUACGGUGUGACGCCUGCCCGGUGCCGGAAGGUUAAUUGAUGGGGUCAGCGUAAGCGAAGCUCCUGAUCGAAGCCCCGGUAAACGGCGGCCGUAACUAUAACGGUCCUAAGGUAGCGAAAUUCCUUGUCGGGUAAGUUCCGACCUGCACGAAUGGCGUAAUGAUGGCCAGGCUGUCUCCACCCGAGACUCAGUGAAAUUGAACUCGCUGUGAAGAUGCAGUGUACCCGCGGCAAGACGGAAAGACCCCGUGAACCUUUACUAUAGCUUGACACUGAACAUUGAGCCUUGAUGUGUAGGAUAGGUGGGAGGCUUUGAAGUGUGGACGCCAGUCUGCAUGGAGCCGACCUUGAAAUACCACCCUUUAAUGUUUGAUGUUCUAACGUGGACCCGUAAUCCGGGUUGCGGACAGUGUCUGGUGGGUAGUUUGACUGGGGCGGUCUCCUCCUAAAGAGUAACGGAGGAGCACGAAGGUUGGCUAAUCCUGGUCGGACAUCAGGAGGUUAGUGCAAUGGCAUAAGCCAGCUUGACUGCGAGCGUGACGGCGCGAGCAGGUGCGAAAGCAGGUCAUAGUGAUCCGGUGGUUCUGAAUGGAAGGGCCAUCGCUCAACGGAUAAAAGGUACUCCGGGGAUAACAGGCUGAUACCGCCCAAGAGUUCAUAUCGACGGCGGUGUUUGGCACCUCGAUGUCGGCUCAUCACAUCCUGGGGCUGAAGUAGGUCCCAAGGGUAUGGCUGUUCGCCAUUUAAAGUGGUACGCGAGCUGGGUUUAGAACGUCGUGAGACAGUUCGGUCCCUAUCUGCCGUGGGCGCUGGAGAACUGAGGGGGGCUGCUCCUAGUACGAGAGGACCGGAGUGGACGCAUCACUGGUGUUCGGGUUGUCAUGCCAAUGGCACUGCCCGGUAGCUAAAUGCGGAAGAGAUAAGUGCUGAAAGCAUCUAAGCACGAAACUUGCCCCGAGAUGAGUUCU
rnacentral:rRNA from 3 species